AUUGAACGCUGGCGGCAGGCCUAACACAUGCAAGUCGAACGAGUGGCGGACGGGUGAGUAAUGUCUGGGCCACUGCCUGAUGGAGGGGGCUCACUACUGGACACUGUAGCUGAUACCGCAUACCAUCGGAUGUGCCCAGGUGGGAUGAGUUAGUGGGGGGGGUAACGGCUCACAAAGGCGACGAUCCCUAGCUUGUCUGAGAGGAUGAACAGCCACACUGGAACUGAGACACGGUCCAGACUCCUACGGGAGGCAGCAGUGGGGAAUAUUGCACAAUGGGCGAAAGCCUGAUGCAGCCAUGCCGCGUGUGUGAAGAAGGCCUUCGGGUUGUAAAGUACUUUCAGCUGGGAGGCGUUACCCGCAGAAGAAGCACCGGCUAACUCCGUGCCAGCAGCCGCGGUAAUAC
rnacentral:rRNA from 1 species